rnacentral:ncRNA from 1 species
GGAUGCUGACACAAUGUGAUUUAUACCCAGUUCUUUGCAUGUGAAAGUGAAGAAAUUCAACCAAGUGUGGGUAAAUGACGGGAGUAACUAUGACUCUCUUAAGGUAGUGAGAUGCCUCUUCAUCUAAUUAGUGACAUUUUUGAAUGGAUUAACAAGAUUCCCAUUGUCCCUAGCUACUAUCUAUAGUAACCACAACCAAGGGAAUUGGCUUGGAAGAAUCAACAGGGAAAGAAGACCCUAUUGAGCUCGACUCUAGUCCGACUUUGUGAAAUUACUUGAGAGGUGUAGAAUAAGUGGAUUUUCAUUUCAACACAAGUGAAAUACCACUACUUUUAAUGUUAUUUUACUUAUUCUGUGGGGUGGAUAUAGUGCAUUGCACAUAUGUUAAAAUAUAAUGCACAUUUCCUUAGAGUGUUGUCAUUGAUGGCAAUGGUCGAGAUCUCAUUCUUCAUGCACUUGAUGGAAAUGAUUUUAGGAAACCAAAGAGGUUGAUCAUUGCUUUUAAGGA